AAUGCUGGGAGACGUUACCACG
rnacentral:miRNA from 13 species